GUCCGUCUGUCUAGACCCUAAAAGUUAAAUUCGCCGAAGGUUUUUCUCUUUUUUAUGUGAGGCUCUGUCCAAAUGUUUCUCCUUUUGGAAUGUGCUACUGCAAUCUGCAUUUCACAUUCUAUAUCAGAAUCAUCGUCUGAGGAGCUGUCUAAUAAAUCAAGAAGUACGGCAGUAUCACUCAUAGUCAAUCACCCUGUAUAUAGAACUCUAACAAGGAAUACGUGUGGCACCAACGCAAACUCGUAAGGAAAUUAACAGAUUUUUAAUAAUA